CUAGGCAGAGUUUUGUGUUACUUUACUCUAGUAAUCUUCAUUCCAUAUUCCUGCAGUCAGACACUGAUCGAGUCUGAUCCAGUGAUCAUCAAACCUGAUCAGUCUCAUAAACUGACCUGCACAGCCUCUGGAUUUACCUUUAGUAGCUAUUACAUGGCUUGGAUCAGACAGGCGCCUGGAAAAGGGCUGGAAUGGCUUGCAACUAUCCACGGCAGUAGCAUAUAUUACUCUAAUGCUGUUAAGGGCCGCUUCACCAUCUCCAGAGACGACAGUAAGAUGCAGGUGUAUCUACAGAUGAACAGCAUGAGGACAGAAGACACGGCAGUUUAUUACUGCGCUCGACAGUGGGAGAGAGCAGUGUGUAGAGUGAAAGCAAUAGCAUCGUCUGUGGAACGGUUGCUGCGGUAUGCAAACUGUAGCGGAUCAGCUUCAAAAGAAGACAUGAGAUCUAAUGAGUAA